rnacentral:rRNA from 1 species
UACGUAGGUGGCAAGCGUUGUCCGGAAUCAUUGGGCGUAAAGCGCGCGUAGGUGGCUUGUCAGGUCUGAUGUGAAAUCUUGGGGCUCAACCCCAAGCGUGCAUCGGAAACCGGCUUGCUAGAGUCCGGGAGAGGAGAGUGGAAUUCCUGGUGUAGCGGUGAAAUGCGUAGAUAUCAGGAGGAACACCGGUUGCGAAGGCGGCUCUCUGGAACGGUACUGACGCUGAUGCGCGAAAGCUAGGGGAGCGAAC